UCCAUUAUGCUGUAGUGCCUAACAUUAUCGCCUCUCGUAGCCGAGGUUUUUAAGCUUUUGAGCCGCGAUAGCCCAGGGUUCGAUUCCCUGUAACGGAA